GACGAACCAACAGCUAUUAAUUAUUAAGCAGAUGAUCAGGUGAUCCAUAACUUAAUUUUGAGAGAGGAAGAAGAGAGAGCUAAAGUACAUGUAGCCCAAAAAAUCAUGUCUUGAUAAAUGGACUAUGUAUGUGACAUAGGCAAAGUUUCCAGAUACCAGGGACGAAGGUCAGAUGCUGAAAUGUAAAUAUCCCUCUAAAGGAAACAGUUUGGUGGAGAGCUUAAAGUGAAGGUCACCUGGCCGAAGCUGGUACCAUGAUGGAUUUGCAGCUGCUGUUAGAGAUGCCACUCAAGGCAGAGGAUUGGAGAAGGAAGAAUGGUCCCCUUCCCUACGUCUACAACUAUCAACACUUCAAAAUAUGUUAAAUACUUUUGUGUGAAUAAGUGUGAGAAAAUGAUUGCUUAUUAAUAGCAUAUAAAUUCAGAGUCAGGAGUGAUGGUAAUGCCAGAAGAAAACCCUCAGAUUAUCCACGAGAGGCUGAGAUAGUGACACUUUUGCUUCCUGGUUCCAGAGGAGGAGUCAAAGCGGCUGUAAUCUUGAUUCAGUUUUAUGGACAAUAGAAUUAUUUUACUGAUUCCUGGAAUCAUGGCUCCUAUGCAUCUGCUCUCUAUGAGCACUUUGGAAAUUAAAGGAUUGCCAGCUUUUCCACUUUGGGACAAAAAACAUUUGUGCUAAACAGCCGACUUUGAACUAACCUUAUUCUCCAACGUCAGUCAAAAUAAUUUUCUCAAUUAAGGUCUGUCAACUAAACACGCAAAAAAUGACCUUCAUGGGAUAGUCCUCAGGAAAAGCUAAUAAAUGAUUGCAAAAUGAGGCAAGGAAAAGCACUUGAGAUGGGGUCCUCACUCUGUCACACAGCCUAGAGUGUAGUGGAAUGAUCAAGGUCACUGCAGCCUCAAAUUCCUGGGCUAAGUGAUCCUCAUGCCUCAGCCUCUCAAG